AGAGUUUGAUCCUGGCUCAGGACGAACGCUGGCGGCGCGCCUAACACAUGCAAGUCGAACGAGCGAGAGAGAGCUUGCUUUCUCGAGCGAGUGGCGAACGGGUGAGUAACGCGUGAGGAACCUGCCUCAAAGAGGGGGACAACAGUUGGAAACGACUGCUAAUACCGCAUAAGCCCACGGCUCGGCAUCGAGCAGAGGGAAAAGGAGCAAUCCGCUUUGAGAUGGCCUCGCGUCCGAUUAGCUAGUUGGUGAGGUAACGGCCCACCAAGGCGACGAUCGGUAGCCGGACUGAGAGGUUGAACGGCCACAUUGGGACUGAGACACGGCCCAGACUCCUACGGGAGGCAGCAGUGGGGAAUAUUGCACAAUGGGGGAAACCCUGAUGCAGCGACGCCGCGUGGAGGAAGAAGGUUUUCGGAUUGUAAACUCCUGUCGUUAGGGACGAUAAUGACGGUACCUAACAAGAAAGCACCGGCUAACUACGUGCCAGCAGCCGCGGUAAAACGUAGGGUGCAAGCGUUGUCCGGAAUUACUGGGUGUAAAGGGAGCGCAGGCGGGAAGACAAGUUGGAAGUGAAAUCCAUGGGCUCAACCCAUGAACUGCUUUCAAAACUGUUUUUCUUGAGUAGUGCAGAGGUAGGCGGAAUUCCCGGUGUAGCGGUGGAAUGCGUAGAUAUCGGGAGGAACACCAGUGGCGAAGGCGGCCUACUGGGCACCAACUGACGCUGAGGCUCGAAAGUGUGGGUAGCAAACAGGAUUAGAUACCCUGGUAGUCCACACCGUAAACGAUGAUUACUAGGUGUUGGAGGAUUGACCCCUUCAGUGCCGCAGUUAACACAAUAAGUAAUCCACCUGGGGAGUACGACCGCAAGGUUGAAACUCAAAGGAAU
rnacentral:rRNA from 1 species